GAUGAACGCUGGCGGCGUGCCUAAUACAUGCAAGUCGAGCGAAUGGAUUAAGAGCUUGCUCUUAUGAAGUUAGCGGCGGACGGGUGAGUAACACGUGGGUAACCUGCCCAUAAGACUGGGAUAACUCCGGGAAACCCGGGCUAACACCGGAUAACAUUUUGAACCGCAUGGUUCGAAAUUGAAAGGCGGCUUCGGCUGUCACUUAUGGAUGGACCCGCGUCGCAUUAGCUAGUUGGUGAGGUAACGGCUCACCAAGGCAACGAUGCGUAGCCGACCUGAGAGGGUGAUCGGCCACACUGGGACUGAGACACGGCCCAGACUCCUACGGGAGGCAGCAGUAGGGAAUCUUCCGCAAUGGACGAAAGUCUGACGGAGCAACGCCGCGUGAGUGGUGAAGGCUUUCGGAUCGUAAAACUCUGUUGUUAGGGAAGAACAAGUGCUAGUUGAAUAAGCUGGCACCUUGACGGUACCUAACCAGAAAGCCACGGCUAACUACGUGCCAGCAGCCGCGGUAA
rnacentral:rRNA from 1 species